GCGCCCGUAGCUCAGCUGGAUAGAGUACUGCCCUCCGAAGGCAGGGGUCGUGGGUUCGAAUCCCGCCGGGCGCACCA
rnacentral:tRNA from 20 species